rnacentral:rRNA from 1 species
UCCAGCCAUGCCGCGUGUGUGAAGAAGGCCCUCGGGUUGUAAAGCAAUUCGGCGAGGAAGAACGCUUGUGGGUUAAUACCCUGCAAGAAAGACAUCACUCGCAGAAAAAGCACCGGCUAACUCCGUGCCAGCAGCCGCGGUAAUACGGAGGGUGCAAGCGUUAAUCGGAAUUACUGGGCGUAAAGCGCGCGUAGGCGGCUUGAUAAGCCGGUUGUGAAAGCCCCGGGCUCAACCUGGGAACGGCAUCCGGAACUGUCAGGCUAGAGUGCAGGAGAGGAAGGUAGAAUUCCCGGUGUAGCGGUGAAAUGCGUAAAGAUCGGGAGGAAUACCAGUGGCGAAGGCGGCCUUCUGGACUGACACUGACGCUGAGGUGCGAAAGCGUGGGUAGCAAACAGGAUUAGAUACCCUGGUAGUCCACGCCGUAAACGAUGUCGACUAGCCGUUGGGGUCCUCGAGACCUUUGUGGCGCAGUUAACGCGAUAAGUCGACCGCCUGGGGAGUACGGCCGCAAGGUUAAAACUCAAAUGAAUUGACGGGGGCCCGCACAAGCGGUGGAGCAUGUGGUUUAAUUCGAUGCAACGCGAAGAACCUUACCUACUCUUGACAUCGAGCGAACUUUCCAGAGAUGGAUGGGUGCCUUCGGGAACGCUCAGACAGGUGCUGCAUGGCCGUCGUCAGCUCGUGUUGUGAAAUGUUGGGUUAAGUCCCGU